rfam:Rattus norvegicus chromosome 15, whole genome shotgun sequence.
GCCCAGCUGGCUCAGUUGGUAGAACAUGAGACUAUCAAUCUCAGGGUCGUCAGUUCAUGCCCCACGUUGGGCA